GACGUAGGGUGCAAGCGUUGUCCGGAUUUACUGGGCGUAAAGGGCGCGUAGGCGGCGCAACAAGUCACUUGUGAAAUCUCCGGGCUUAACCCGGAGCGGCCAAGUGAUACUGUCGUGCUAGAGUGCGGAAGGGGCUACUGGAAUUCUCGGUGUAGCGGUGAAAUGCGUAGAGAUCGAGAGGAACACCUGCGGCGAAGGCGGGUCGCUGGGCCGAGACUGACGCUGAGGCGCGAAAGCCAGGGGAGCGAACAGG
rnacentral:rRNA from 1 species